AACGAACGCUGGCGGCAGGCUUAACACAUGCAAGUCGAACGCAUCCUUCGGGGUGAGUGGCAGACGGGUGAGUAACGCGUGGGAACGUGCCCUUCAGUUCGGGAUAACCCAGGGAAACUUGGGCUAAUACCGGAUACGUGCGAGAGCAGAAAGAUUUAUCGCUGAAGGAUCGGCCCGCGUCUGAUUAGCUAGUUGGUGGGGUAAUGGCCCACCAAGGCGACGAUCAGUAGCUGGUCUGAGAGGAUGAUCAGCCACAUUGGGACUGAGACACGGCCCAAACUCCUGCGGGAGGCAGCAGUGGGGAAGAUUGGACAAUGGGCGCAAGCCUGAUCCAGCCAUGCCGCGUGAGCGAUGAAGGCCUUAGGGUUGUAAAGCUCUUUCGUCCGGGACGAUAAUGACGGUACCGGAAGAAGAAGCCCCGGCUAACUUCGUGCCAGCAGCCGCCGUAA
rnacentral:rRNA from 1 species